AAACCAACAGGGAUUGCCUCAGUAACGGCGAGUGAAGCGGCAAAAGCUCAAAUUUGAAAUCUGGUACCUUUGGUGCCCGAGUUGUAAUUUGAAGAUAGUUUUCUGGUGCUGGCCCUUGUCUAUGUUCCUUGGAACAGGACGUCACAGAGGGUGAGAAUCCCGUCUGGCGGGGUGUCCAGUGCUUUGUAGAUUUCUAUCGACGAGUCGAGUUGUUUGGGAAUGCAGCUCUAAGUGGGUGGUAAAUUCCAUCUAAAGCUAAAUAUUGGCGAGAGACCGAUAGCGAACAAGUACAGUGAUGGAAAGAUGAAAAGAACUUUGAAAAGAGAGUGAAAAAGUACGUGAAAUUGUUGAAAGGGAAGGGUAUUAGAUCAGACUUGGUGUUUUGUGAUUAUCUUCCCUUCUUGGGUUGUGCACUCGCAUUUCACUGGGCCAGCAUCGGUUCGGGUGGUAAGAUAAUGACAUUGGAACGUGGCACUGCCUUCGGGUGGUGUGUUAUAGCCCUUGUUGAUGUUGCCUACCUGGACCGAGGACUGCGGCUUUUGCCUAGGAUGCUGGCGUAAUGAUCUAACACCGC
rnacentral:rRNA from 4 species